rnacentral:rRNA from 1 species
UACGUAGGGUGCGAGCGUUAAUCGGAAUUACUGGGCGUAAAGCGUGCGCAGGCGGUUGUGUAAGACAGGUGUGAAAUCCCCGGGCUUAACCUGGGAACUGCGCUUGUGACUGCACGGCUAGAGUACGGCAGAGGGGGGUGGAAUUCCACGUGUAGCAGUGAAAUGCGUAGAUAUGCGGAGGAACACCGAUGGCGAAGGCAAUCCCCUGGGCCUGCACUGACGCUCAUGCACGAAAGCGUGGGGAGCAAACAGG